GCCAGGUGUGGUGGCUCACACCUGUAAUCCCAGCACUUUGGGAGGCUGAGGUGGGUGGAUCACUGGAGGCCAGGAAUAUGAGACCAGCCUGGCCAACAUGGUGAAACCCCACCUCUA
ensembl:misc_RNA Metazoa_SRP Metazoan signal recognition particle RNA